AAGGAGUUGGGUCUUCUGCAGUCUCCAAUGCUUACUCUGGAGGCACAUCAUCACCUACUGCUCACAUCCAAAGGACUGGAUGAUCAUCGCAAGGGGAAGGCAAACACAUACAACACAAACAAUGCAAGGGUAAGCUGGGUCUCAAAUAAACAUACAAUUUAAUCCAAUUCAAUCUAAUAUUUCCGAGAACCUCCACACCCACAUAAACUUGCAAAUCCUCAUAAACAUGGACAUUAGUUUCAUAAAACACAUCAAAAUAAUCAUCCUAUCAUAUUAAGACCUCUAGACUCGUCCGGACUAAAGAAUGUAUAUAGAGCUGGGGCGGGUUGUGCACUUGUGGUGGCCUCUACUGCUUUGCAAAGCCAUUGCCGAGGGGUUUCACCCGACCACACACAAGGCUGGUCCGUUACCGCGGAAUAGACCUCCAUUGAUAGCGCCUACCCUAGGACCUCCCACUACUCUCACCACACACGUCAAUCUUCUCUAAGUGAGAAUGAAAGACCGUUAGAGUGUUAGGGAUAACCCCCCAUAGUGGAAGCCUCUUACAUACAUUUAAUACACUAACUGAUCUCACCGAGAGAUCUUAAUUUCAUAUUCAAUCUGACCACUUUAAAUCACAUUAUAAUCCUCUUGAAUCAAUAAUGUACCUCAUAAACCACUUUGAUUCAUCAAACAUAAAAUUUCAUAGUCAUUCAAGUGCAUCCUUACUAUAUUAUCUCAUACCAAACUCAUACACCAUCA
rnacentral:lncRNA from 1 species